UGGGGAAUUUUGGACAAUGGGCGAAAGCCUGAUCCAGCCAUGCCGCGUGAGUGAAGAAGGCCUUCGGGUUGUAAAGCUCUUUUAGUCGGAAAGAAAAGAUCAUAAUGAACAAUUAUGAUUCAUGACGGUACCGACAGAAAAAGCACCGGCUAACUACGUGCCAGCAGCCGCGGCAAUACGUAGGGUGCGAGCGUUAAUCGGAAUUACUGGGCGUAAAGGGUGCGCAGGCGGUUUUGUAAGUCAGAUGUGAAAUCCCCGGGCUUAACCUGGGAAUUGCGUUUGAAACUGCAAGACUAGAGUGCAGCAGAGGGGAGUGGAAUUCCAUGUGUAGCAGUGAAAUGCGUAGAGAUGUGGAAGAACACCGAUGGCGAAGGCAGCUCCCUGGGUUGACACUGACGCUCAUGCACGAAAGCGUGGGGAGCAAACA
rnacentral:rRNA from 1 species